UACGGAGGGUGCGAGCGUUGUCCGGAAUCACUGGGCGUAAAGGGCGCGUAGGCGGCUUGAUAAGUCACUUGUGAAAUCCCGUUGCUCAACGACGGGGCCGCAGGUGAGACUGUCUGGCUGGAGCUUGGUAGGGGGAUGCGGAAUUCCGGGUGUAGUGGUGGAAUGCGUAGAGAUCCGGAGGAACACCAGCGGCGAAGGCGGCAUCCUGGACUGGUACUGACGCUCAUGAGCGAAAGCGUGGGGAGCGAUCCGG
rnacentral:rRNA from 1 species